CACGUAGGGCGCAAGCGUUUGUCCGGAUUUAUUGGGCGUAAAGAGCUCGUAGGCGGCUUGUCGCGUCGAAUGUGAAAACCCGAGGCUCAACUUCGGGCUUGCAUUCGAUACGGGCAGGCUCGAGUUCGGUAGGGGAGACUGGAAUUCCUGGUGUAGCGGUGAAAUGCGCAGAUAUCAGGAGGAACACCGGCGGCGAAGGCGGGUCUCUGGGCCGAUACUGACGCUGAGGAGCGAAAGCGUGGGGAGCGAACAGG
rnacentral:rRNA from 1 species